rnacentral:rRNA from 1 species
AUUGAACGCUGGCGGCAGGCCUAACACAUGCAAGUCGAGCGGUUCGUCGGACGGGUGAGUAAUAUCUAUGAAUCUUCCUGGCAGUACGGGAUAACGUCCGGUAACGGGCGCUAAUACCGCAUACUAGUAUAUGAGCCUAGGUCGGAUUAGCUAGUUGGUGGUGUAAAGGUCUACAAAGGCGACGAUCCGUAACUGGUCUGAGAGGAUGAUCAGUCACACUGGAACUGAGACACGGUCCAGACUCCUACGGGAGGCAGCAGUGGGGAAUAUUGGACAAUGGGCGAAAGCCUGAUCCAGCCAUGCCGCGUGUGUGAAGAAGGUCUUCGGAUUGUAAAGCACUUUAAGUUGGGAGGCGUUACCAACAGAAUAAGCACCGGCUAACUUCGUGCCAGCAGCCGCGGUAAUAC